UGUGCUACCAACGCAAGAGAGCUCAAUGCCGCAAGCGCGCGGCAUGUGAAGCGAGGCGCUGUCUGGUCUAGCACGCACACAUGUGUGUGUGCGCUCUCUCUACGCGAGCGCACCAGCAAAGCCGCCGCUGCGCAGAUCAUAGCGAGCUUCGACUGCUAAGAAAGCUGCGGGCACAUGGCGAGCGCCGUGACACCGCGGCUUGCAAGCAGCUUUAUUAUGCAGCGCGAGCGCAUCGCAACCAGCAUUCGUUAUGACUAUUUGCGCGCGCGCAACAAGCCACAUAAAAAAAAAGUUUUUGCGUCUGCUGCGCGCGCGCGUCUGGCACACGGCGCAAAUUUGCACAUGCGGGCUUCCCAUCUCUUGUGUAUGAGCUCCUCGCGCGGCGACGCACAUCUAUGAGGCGUUUUCGCUCGGCAGCCUACAUGCCCGCAGCUAUUAUGGCGCUCGCGCGCGCUAUGCGCGCGCAUCGCGCAUAUAUGCUGCGCUUCUGCCAAGCGCUGAAAAACGCGCAAACGCGCGCGCUUUUCAAUGGCCCAUAAAACGAGCGCACGCGCGCGCGCGCAAGAAAGCUCAGAAAACGGAAAACGGCGCGCAGCGCGCAAUAAGGCCGGCAGCAGCUGCUUAAAGUGUUUUAAAACACGCUUCCUGC
rnacentral:rRNA from 1 species